rnacentral:rRNA from 1 species
UUUGCUUCCCAUCGGGCCGAUGUGUGUCGGUCCUAUGGGGAGCAAGUUAGCGGCGAACGGUCGCGUAACACGUAAGCAACCUGCCCCAAAGACCGGGACAACAGCUCGAAAGGGCUGCUAAUACCGGAUGUGGCCAUCUCUUCACCUGUAGGGAUGAUUAAAUCCAGCAAUGGGCUUUGGGAGGGGCUUGCGGCCUAUCAGCUAGUUGGUGGGGUAACGGCCUACCAAGGCGACGACGGGUAGCUGGUCUGAGAGGACGAUCAGCCGGACUGGGACUGAGAUACGGCCCAGACUCCUACGGGGGGCAGCAAUUAGGAAUCUUGCGCAAUGGGCGAAAGCCUGACGCAGCGACGCCGCGUGGAGGACGAAGUCCUUCGGGAUGUAAACUCCUUUUGUCUGGGAAGAAACGAAUGACGGUACCAGACGAAUAAGCCCCGGCUAACUACGUGCCAGCAGCCGCGGUAAUACGUAGGGGGCGAGCGUUGUCCGAAGUUACUGGGCGUAAAGCGCGCGU